UCUCCUAUUGUUGUUGCUGGGAGCUGGCAGCCAGGGGUAGUUGUGGCAGGGAAAGCAUGUGGACGAAAAGCUGGAACCCGUUGCUAGGUAAGGACCGCCUUCCCUUCUUCCAGGCCUGCAUGCACUUGCACAAUCAAGAAAUACCAUGGAGCUCACUCAGUGUCUUCCAUCUGCUUUUACAGGAGACUGCAGAACUGCAAGGUGAACACAUUGGCAUCCUCUCUCCAUAUCUGGUCCCUGAGGCUUGUUUCCCACCAUUCACAGGGCCCUCAGAAGUUGUACCAACCAGAAUCCACUCUCAACUACCUUGGGCAUGUGCCUGCUUUGAUGUCACAGAUAACAGGAAAGGGACCGUGCUGCAGCAUAGAUCUGGAGGUUAG
rnacentral:lncRNA from 1 species